rnacentral:rRNA from 1 species
UACGUAGGGUGCGAGCGUUGUCCGGAAUUAUUGGGCGUAAAGGGCUCGUAGGCGGUUUGUCGCGUCGGGAGUGAAAACCAUGAGCUUAACUCAUGGCUUGCUUUCGAUACGGGCAGACUAGAGGUAUGCAGGGGAGAACGGAAUUCCUGGUGUAGCGGUGAAAUGCGCAGAUAUCAGGAAGAACACCCGUGGCGAAGGCGGUUCUCUGGGACGGUACUGACGCUGAGACGCGAAAGCGUGGGGAGCGAACAGG